rnacentral:lncRNA from 1 species
CAUGGUGAAAGUUUUCCAGAUAUUCAACAGUUUUCUUACAAAAAUUCAACUGAAGAUAAAAAGUUUCAUUCUAAUAUUGAGGGUUUUAGUUCUUUGUUGGUUGAAGAAAGAAAACUAUUAAGUGUUUCAAGUACAUACAGUAAUGAUAGUACAGAAACUUCUGAUUUAAGUUGGGAUAGCAGUGACUGUCAACUUCGUUUAGAAGAAUUAGAAAUAACAAACAAACGUUUACUUGAAGAAAAUAUUAAGUUAAAAAGACAUUUAAAUACUACAGAAGAUCAAAACAUACUUAUUCUACAAGAAAAUGAAGAAAUACGAAAACAGCUUGUAAAAUUUGAAAAAAUUUCUGAAGAUAGCCGUUCCACGUUCAAGAAACAUGAAAAAUUAAAAGCAAACUUAGUCGACACUCAAAUCAGCAAAGCAGAACUGUUAGAAAAAAUGCAGUAUUUGG